rnacentral:rRNA from 1 species
UAGCGUAGGGUGCAAGCGUUGUUCGGAAUCACUGGGCGUAAAGGGCGCGUAGGCGGCUUUGUAAGUCGGGGGGUGAAAGCCUGUGGCUCAACCACAGAAUUGCCUUCGAUACUGCAUGGCUUGAGACCGGAAGAGGUAAGUGGAACUGCGAGUGUAGAGGUGAAAUUCGUAGAUAUUCGCAAGAACACCAGUGGCGAAGGCGGCUCACUGGCCCGGUACUGACGCUGAGGUGCGAAAGCGUGGGGAGCAAACAGG